rnacentral:rRNA from 1 species
CCCGCCGGCGACCGGCGCGCGGGUGAGUAACACGUAUGCAACCUGGCCGCCACAGGGGGAUAACCCGCGGAAACGCGGCCUAAUACCCCGUGACGCCACCGGAGGGCAUCCUCCGGUGGCCAAAGGAGCGAUCCGGUGGCGGAUGGGCAUGCGGCGCAUUAGCUAGACGGCGGGGUGACGGCCCACCGUGGCGACGAUGCGUAGGGGUUCUGAGAGGAAGGCCCCCCACACUGGGACUGAGACACGGCCCAGACUCCUACGGGAGGCAGCAG